CAUCCAUCCAUCCACCCACCCGUCCAUCCAUCCACCCAUCCAUCCAUCCAUCCAUCCACCCAUCCACCCGUCCAUCCAUCCAUCCACCCACUCGUCCAUCCAUCCAUCCAUCCACCCACCCGUCCAUCCAUCCACCCACCCAUCCAUCCAUCCAUCCACCCAUCCAUCUAUCCAUCCAUCCAUCCAUCCAUCCAUCCAUCCAUCCAUCCAUCUAUUUAUCCAUCCAUCCAUCUAUUUAUGCAUCCGUCCAUCAUCCAUCCAUCCCUCCGUUUGCUCAUUUCCACCCAGGAAUCCAUCAUCUCUCAAACUAAGGUUUCGACAUCAUUCCUUCUUUUCAGAAAGUGCAAACCAAAGCUAAGACUGGCUCACACAUGCCACGCGGGAGUUAGAGUGAGAGCAUUUUUCAGAUCCUUGUUCUCUUCUGGCCCCACCUCCCGCAGUUUCUGGAAGUCCCAGGACAGGGAAAAGGAGAGAAAGGCAGAAAAGAAAUUAUCGAGUGUGGCUCUUCCCUCUCCUCAGAGGAAAUUGUUCACCUGCCACCCUCGGAAAUUUAAUUUUCAGUGUUAAAACUUGAAAUUUUAUAGUAGUAUGUGUACCAAAGUUAUAAAAUGGGCAAACUUGUCUAAACGAGGAUUCCUACAUUGUUAUGACAUUUUCCCCAGAGAAUCACAAGCUCUGAGAUACACUUGUGAACCUUACUUAUGCAGACAUUCUCUUAAACUGGGAUUCUUUCUCUCAGUUUACCUUAGGCUAACACAGAAACAUAUUUUGACACAGAAAGAAUUUUUUCUCUUCAUUGCUCAAGUCACCUGGAGGCAGCUCCUGCCUGGGGUGGAUGCCUCCGACCCCUGGGAAUGACCCCUGCAGCCACCACUGAGCCCCCCACAGAAGGAGGCUCGUGCCUGGUCCAGCUUUCCCACCCGGGGUCUCUGUGGCUGGCUCCCCCCAGCUCGGGGCAGAAGCCUAAUUCAGGGUUGUUCUGCUCAGUUGAUCCAGUCGGACGCUAGGAUUUGCCUGGGGGCCCGGCCUGCCAGCAGUACAGGUGAGGGGACGCAGGCUUGGUCACAAGCACCCCUGCUGACCUUCCCUACAGACCUGGCACAUUUAAUCUUCUUCUUUGGGGAGGAGAAGAGGAUGCAUUCAGAAAUGCCUUUGCUGAUGAGGCCCUCAGGAGCUUGUACUGGAAUCACUCAAAAUUCCCAAGUAGCCUGAGUGUCCUAAUUCAUUUCUGUGUACAUCUGCCUAAUUCUCAAUCCACGUCUAAGGUUAGAAUGAACAUUUGAAUUAGCCAUUCUGGACAACACACACACGCACUAUACCAUGCAUUUAGAUCUCUCUGUACCUUGCUCGUGUCAGCACAAACGCAGCCCCUCUCUUUUCAAAAGCCCGGUUCGUUUUCCAGCAGGCGCGUGCUUUCAUUAGACUUUCCCUCCUGUGGGUUCUGGCAGAUUUCCCAACACAAGCACGGCAGGAAGUGCAUUGUGUUUGUAGAAAAUCCAAAAUAAUCUCUAGGUGAGUGUUAGGAUGAAAAAUGAAUUUAGUGUUGGUACAGGUUUUUGCUUGUUGUACUUUUUGUGGGGGAGGGUGAUAAAAAUAUUCCAAAAUUGAUUGCGAUGAUGGUUGUGCAAUUCUGUGAAUAUACUAACAAGCACUGAACUCUAUACUGCAAACAGGUGAACUGUAUGGUAUGUGAAUUAUAUUUUAAUAAAGCUGUUAUUUUUAAAAAGUAAAUUUAGCAACAACACUGGAUACAAGCUAAAUAUACAAAAAUUAAUUAUCUUUAUACAGACCAGCAACUAAUAAUUAGAAAAUGAGAAUUUUUAAAUGAUACCAUUUUGGUAGUAUCAAAACCCAUCAAUUACCUAGUAACUGUUCAGUAAAAUAUUCCAAAAACAGCAAAACAUUGACUAAGGUACAUUAAAGAAGAUUUAAAUAGCCCAGGCAUGGGGGCUCACGCCUGUAAUCCCAACACUUUAGGAGUCCUAGGAGAGCAGAUCACCUGAGGUCAGGAGUUCGCGACCAGCCUGGCCAACAUGGUGAAACCCCAUCUCUACUAAAAAUACAAAAAUUAGCCAGAUGUGGAGGUGUGCGCCUGUAAUCCCAGGUACUUAGGUGGCUGAGGCAGGAGAAUCGCCUGAACCUGGGAGGUGGAGGUUGCAGUGAGCGGAGAUCUCACCACAGCACUCCAGCCUGAGUGACAGAAAAAAAAGAAAAAAAAAAAAGAUUUAAAUAAAGGAAGGGAUAUGAUAUAUUUAUGGAUUAAAAGCAAGUUAAAAACAAGUUAACAAACACAACAAUUGAUCUAUAAAUUCCAUGUAAUCACCAUUAAAAUCCAGGCCAAAGUGUGUGAGUGUGUGUGUGUUGCGGGUAGGGGGUUGCCAAGCUAAAGUUUACGUGGGAAUGGACGGGGCAAGAACAGCAAGACGACCUUGAGGACGACCAAAGCGAGGGACUCGGCCCCCAGGUGCCAGUGCCCACCACAAAGCUAUAGGAGUCCAGACCAGGCCACACAGCGGUCAGUGAAGUGGGAUGGAAGGUCCAGACCAGGCCACACAGUGGUCAGUGAAGUGGGAUGGAAGGUCCAGACCAGGCCACACAGUGGUCAGUGAAGUGGGAUGGAAG
rnacentral:lncRNA from 1 species